AGAAUUUUAAGUUAAAGAAACUAUAAGUUUUCAAAACUUAUUAUAUGUAAAAAGUUACUUAAAUUCUG
rnacentral:tRNA from 1 species